GCAUGGCUGCUCAUACUGGUAGACCUUGUAGACCACCAGGAACACCACACACACCAAGAAGGCCAGAGCACAGAUCACCAGCAAGGUCACCUGGACGAGGAACACAACAAUCAGGACAUCAGGCAACAGAUGAGACAACAGCAACGCAACAGUAGGUUAUCAAAGAGGCGAGGACUCCCUGCAGCACUUCAAAGCUCGCAGGAACUCAAAAAGAGGUUUUGAUCACAUCUGACUAUAACAAAGAUCAUCUGUUGAAUUAGAGCUGUUUUAUUCCAGCAUAUGUUCAAAUUGUCCCAUUCAAAGAGUGUGCACGUUUGCCAGCCACCGAGGUGGGAGAGAAACUGCUAUUGGGAGGCCAUCACCAUGGCAGCAGCUGAUUUAAUGCGAGCGGCUAAAGGAAGCGUCAGGUGAAUCAUCGGUGAGCACGAUGGAUUGUUGAGUCAAGUCGCACGACAGGAUGUGGAAGUGGGUCAGAGUCACUGAGUAUAAAUAAUGAUGCAACAGAUAAACGAGUUAUUCCCAUCGAUUGCCUUAUUUAAGAGAAUUGUUUGAUGUUGGUUAACUUCCAAGAAUCACAUACCAGUAUUUUUUAUUUUUAUUUUUUCUAUUUUUUUAGUUGCUAUUGUUAGCUAAUUUUGCAUUUCAUGCAAGUUAAUAAAUGAGGAAAACUUGCAUAUCAAAAUGGGUAUUGUGUAUAUAAUUAAAAACAGCAAAUUUACUUUUACUUUUGGACAUUUCAGAGAGCAGGAAUCUUACUUUGAGUCGCUCGGACACGCCUUCGAUGAUGCUUAUUGAGAACUCUGCGAUUUUGGGAGAUCUGAUCUUGCCCUUCUUGGUCUCGCCGUCAUAAUCCGCCUUUGUCUUCACCACCACCUAGAAACACACAUACAGGUAGAAUAUAUGCAUAAUUAAGCUAUGCAUAUUUAAAUCAAUAAAAUAUACAUAGAUAUACAUUUAUUCAUAAAUAUAUAGAGAGAGUGGGAUAGAGAUAUAUAUUUUAAAAUAUUUUAUUUUUAAUUUGCAUACCUGGUUCCCCAUCCCUGAAGUAGAGCUCUAGAUAUCCACAUAUCUAUGAUCCACCCAUGUUUAUUAUAUAAAAUCUAAUCCCUUACCUUGUCUGGCGGAGGGAAAUGAAGCUGGCUGGCAUCUAAAGGUGUGAUGAGGGGAAUUGUGUCAAAUCCGUCUUCAGAAGCCACCUUCCCAUUG